GGUUAAGCCCCGCACGCCCCUCCUCCGCCUCCUCCCCUGCCGCGGUGGUCCCGCAGCUCCGCGGCGCUCGGAGCCGGCAGCCAGCCCGGCCGUUCCCCGCGGCGGGCGGCACGGGGUUCUGCCCGGAGGAGGAGGAAGUCAAAACUCGUUGCUAAUUUGGCGUUGGCCCCAGCUUUGCCUGACCCUGCGUUUGAGGUAUCAAACCGAGCAGAGGUGAUUACAGAAGAAGAGGAAUCCGUUCAGCACGGAUCAUACUUCACACGAGGCGCUAUAAUCCUCAAAGAACACUGUCUGAAAAAGCAGUCUGGAAGAAAACAUGCGAUCAGAGGGAUAUUCUGCCUAACAUUCAAAAGAUACAGUUACUGAGAUGAAAAUUAACUCUGCUUUAGCUUAAAUCAAAAAUACUCCGCUUUCUGUAAUAGUGACUACUAUCGGAGCAGUUGGAGAAACUACCACAGCGAGAUGGUCCACUGAGUCAUUUCUAUGAGGAGCUUCUGUACUACCACUACAAAGCAAGAAUACAUUAAAGAAAAAAAGGUGUGAGGGUGCACCAGCAUUUUCUGGCUAGAAAGCUAACCGCCAAGUGAAGGUAUUGAAGAUUUCUAGACUUGCUGGGACAAAUAUCUCUACCUCCAGUUUUAUGAAUACUGCUAGCUAUGGCUGUGGAACUCUGUCUGCUGCUGCUGCUGUUUUGUGGAAGUACAAUUUCAGAGGUACAGCCUAUAUACAAACCUCCUCCUGGGACUUUGGAUUUUGGAUUUGUACCAGCCAAGACGUAUGAUACAGGUGCAUACCAUGAACCUGGGCCAAUAGGAAUUCUGUUUAAAAUAGUACAUGCAUUCCUGUACUUGGUGCAGCCAAAUCCUUUUCCUCAAGAUCUCAUCAGAAAACUGGCACAGCAGAAGUUUGGAAAUACACAGGGUGAUUAUCAAAAGCCAGAAAAUGUUGUCCUGACUCUUCAGGCUAUCUACUAUGAAAUCGGUUUUAUAGUCUCCGCAGCCUUGGGAUUGCUAUUUAUUUUGUUACUGCCUCUUGUGGGACUUUGCUUCUGUAUGUGUCGUUGCUGUGACAACUGUGGUGGGGAAAUGCAUCAAAGACAGAAGAAAAAUGCUGACUGUCAGAGGAGCUGUUUUGCAACAUUUCUUUUUGUUGCUUCUUUAAUAAUAAGUGUUGGAGUGCUCUGCGCUUAUGCUGCCAACCAGCAUUUAACUAACCAAGUCAGAGGAGCAAAGAAACUGGUUAACAGUAACUUUAAAGAUCUGAAAACAUUCCUUAAUGACACUCCAGCGCAAAUUGACUACUUGGUGAGCCAGUACAACACAACUAAGGAUAAAGCACUCUCUGACCUAAAUAAUGUUGGACCUCUGCUUGGAAGUAGAGUUCAAGAACAGCUGGGAAAAGAAGUACGUCCCGCGCUUGAUGCGGCUCUGACAAUGGCAGGAGUCAAAGUGGAAAGGGCUAUCAAAGCCAUCAGAGAGACAAAGGAAGCACUGGAAAAUGUGAGCGUCUCUGUAGAGGUUUUGCAAGAGGGAACAGAGAGGCUUCAUGCAAACUUGACAGACGUUAAAAUGCAUCUAAGCAACACCCUCAAUGAUUCUGCAUGCUCUGCAGAUCAGGCUGCUUCAACUUGCAAUAUCAUUAGGAAUUCAUUACAUCAGCUGGACAUCAAUGCCAAUUUUAGUGGGUUGCCGGGAGUGAGCUCACAGCUUGCCAAAGUCAAUGAUGUUCUUAAAAUAGACCUUUCUAGUCUGGUUCAAAAGGGUUAUGCAGCAUUUAAUGAUACUCCAGACUUAGUGGUGAAUCAAACCAGAAACAUUUUAUCAGAUAUCAAAAAUGUGCUGGAAUCCAUUGGUUCGAAUAUUACUACCUUCACAAAAACACUCCCUGUUCAGAAGAUUUUAGCAGAUUUGAUGAUAUAUCUUACACAGAGUGAAACAUACGUUCAAGAUUAUUUUCCAGUAGUAGAGCAGUAUGAUUUCUACAGGUGGCUGGGUUGUCUCAUUCUGUGCUGCAUGGUGGUCCUGAUUCUUAUCUUUUACUAUCUUGGAUUGCUAUGUGGCACCUGUGGUUAUGAUAAACAUGCUUCUCCAACAACCAGAGGCUGCAUCUCCAACACUGGAGGAAACUUUCUUAUGGCUGGUGUUGGAUUCAGUUUUCUUUUCUCCUGGGUGCUGAUGGUUGUAGUGGUGCUUACGUUUGUCACAGGUGGAAAUGUAGAAAAACUUGUCUGCGAGCCCUUUGAAGAUAAAACUGUGUUCAAGGUUUUGGAUACUCCCUACUUGCUAAAUAAACACUGGAAAAACUAUCUUUCCGGCAUCCUGUUUAAAAAUCCCAAUAUUAACUUGACUUUUGAAAAAGUGUACAGUGAUUGCAAGGAGAACAAAGGAAUUUAUACUUCCCUUCAUCUCGAACACCUUUUCAAUAUCAAUGAAUUUCUAAAUAUUAGUAUGUAUACAGAAGAUGUAGCACUUAAAAUUGAACAUAUUCAGAUAAACCUCAGUAAAAUCAUUCUGCUGGAUGAAACUGGGAAGGAAAACCUGCUGAAUUUCAGUUCUUCAGGAAUAGAAGGGAUAAACUUUUCAGCAUAUUUGACAGAGAUCAAUAAAAGUGUUACCAAGGUUGAUCUUCUGUCAUUUGCUAAUGACUUAGAAGCAAGAGCAGACCAGCUGCCAAAAGGAGCACUGGAAAAUGCCUUAAAAGGACAUGCAAACAACAUUCGAACGAUUCAUAACCAGCAAGUUGUUCCACUAGAGCAAGCUAUGACUGUCAAGAAAUAUGUUAAAGCUAGGAGCACUUUAAAUCAGAGCGUUAGGUUACUGAAGAGGACAUCAUCUGAACUUAUGGUUAAGGUGAAAAAUGUCAUUAGUGCAGUUAAUGCUGCCCAGCUUCUCAUAAAUAACAACGCUUCUCUAGUUGUUGUCCAGGAGACAAAAAAGUACAUGGAUACCAUUGUUGGCUACUUUGAGCAAUAUGUUGAGUGGGUCAAGGAGUCGAUUGCCAUGGAGGUAGCAGCGUGCAAGCCUAUUGCCAAUGUGGUAGAUACAACAGUAGAUAUUUUUUUAUGCAGCUAUAUCGCUGAUUCUGUGAAUACCUUCUGGUUUGGUUUGGGAGGUUCUUCAAUGUUUUUAAUUCCUGCCAUAAUUUUUGCUGUAAAACUCUCUAAAUACUAUCGUAGAAUGGAUACAGAGGAUGUAUAUGAUGAUUCCUCUGUCUCAGGGACUUGGCAUUUUACUUUAUGAUAACUAUUCUUACAUAUUUUCCCGUCAGUGUUUUUUUCUUUUCUACUCUUGCAUAUUGUUUAGUUAGCCUGUGCACUGCAUUCCUCAAACUUCACACUGGUCAUUUUUUUCAUUACACAUUCACAAGACAGGAGAGCAGAAACAGGCCUGUACAGCUAAAAUUAUCCACUUGCUAGUGUCCAGUUAAUUACUCCUCCUUUUCUGUGUUUUUUAGUGUUGAAACUAUACUCAUGAAAACGUAAGGCCUUUUUUCUGGUAUUUGUUAAAAUUCUUUUAUUCACAUGGGGGGGGUUAUAUAUUUAAUGUAACUUGAUACUUCAAAAGAGGUAACGUGUUCUGUUUCACCAGACUUUAUAAUAGAGUAUCCAACUCGACAAGAAGAGCGAAAUAAUUAACUAACUUUUGGAAAAUAUAAAAAUAUUUAAAAUGUAAAAUUAUAAUUAUGCCAUAACUUCUGAAUGUUACAAAGGAAAAGUUAUCUUCUAUUGUACAGACAGAGUUUAUCUUUACAUAUAAUACCAUCAUCCAUGGACAUGUCUUAGAAGCCAUACUGUACAUAGUGCAUCUUAUAGUUAACAUAGUCUUUAUUGGUGUAUUUAUUUUAUUACAGUACAGGAAAUUGUAAUAAUGGUUAUCAUAAAGAGCAUUUAUAUGGUAUACACAAUCCUGUUUUUACAAGCUCUGUGGAACAGUGGUAACGCAUACUGGAAACAGUAAGGGGUUAUAUAAAUGAGGCUCAAGAUUCUUCUACAGGAAUAUAUCAUUAUUCCUCCAAGUGUAUUGGCACUUGCAUUCAUCUUCCAAAUCCUGAGCUGCUUGUUUUAUGUCACCCGUACUGUAAAUCCCAAAUGUACUAUUGAAUGUUAUGCCAUAAACUACUGUACAGAAUAUUUUGCAGUCAAGGCACUGCCUCUCAAAUACCACUGUUCAAGGCUUGAAUUACAAUGGGUUUUGUUUUUUUACUUUUUUUACACUGGGCUUUCUACCUUACAUCACAGUAUGUAAACUAAUUAGAUUAACAGCCUUUGCCUAGUAUUCCUCUGACAAACCGGUCAAGUUCUUAUCUUAAAUUGUUGAUUUGUGUUAAAUACAGUACAUACACGUUUACAUAAAAAUACAUUUUGUAUACAGAGACUUUUGUAUAUUCAUUUUUCUUAAAACUUACAUGUGUUUAGUUGAGAUUUUAAUAUUGUAUAAUAAUCUCACAAAUGAAUUUACCAGCAUGCUCAGUGUUGCUAUUUGGUGCUCUUGAAUGACCACUUUGGACUAAAUUCAUGGGAUCCACAAUGUCUCCUUGUGUGUCUGAAAAGUUCAGUUGCAGUUUUGUUUUCUCCCUCUUUUUUUCAAUUAUUUUAUAAUUAGUGGGUUUUGCGGUAUAGACCUAAAAGAGACUUUUUGGAGUUGGCUCUAUUGAAACUCUUUGGGUGGGAGGGUUGGGAAUGUGUGUGAUGCUCAAUAUAGUGCAAAAGCUAAGCUUUCUAAAGUUCAGUAGUACUCAAAACGAGCAUGAGAGAUGUCAUAUGUUGGUGAUUUUUAGAAUGCUUUACAUUCUCUGUUUCCCUUUUCCUCAUUCACACCCACUUCUGUGGUGUCCUUAAUAGUAUCACUGUUAAUCUGUGGCUCUUUCAGGGGGCAGUGACACUGUUUUUGCUAAAUAAUUUCAAAAUAUGAUUUCCGUUAUUGAAAUGCAAAAGUUUUUAGCAAUUGGAGUUAACAUUUGUUCUGUUAGAGUUAUUGCCUUGAAUUUAGGCAUACAGUUGCAAUGCUGCAUUAGUUAGCAGAAUUCAUCAACAGGAUGAAAAGUAUCUGUGUUGGUAGUGUAAAACAUUGCAGCGGGUGAAGUAAUUGGAUAUAUUGGUCUAAAAUAGUGUAUCUUCAUAUAUCAGUAUUGUUAACUUUGUUUCCAGCCAGAUUCAUUAACUUGAAGUAAAUCCCUUAAAUCGUUCGUGUAAUUUUAAAGAAGUGCUGUAAAGAGAAACCAAUCUUUAAUCUGGAGUAACCUUAAAUUUUUCAUUUUUGGGUCAUAAAUGGAAACAUUUCUAAUUGAUGGUAUGUAGCAUAUGUGUAUAUGUAAUGUUCAGAACUGCAGAUUUUUAAAAGUUUCUAUUUUUAAUUUGAGAAAAUGUUCCAAAUUCAUUUAAAUAAAAAAGAACUUGCUUAAUUACCUGAUGUUUGAAUCUCAGUUGUUUUGUUGUAUAGACCUGACUCAGAAGAGCUGCACUGAGUUAAAGUCUUGCAAAAAUUGGGGGGAGGGGAGUCUCUAAUAAAAUGUUUCUGCUAUAUUUGACCUUUAUUGAUAACUUUAGCUUAAGCAAGAUAAGUGACCAAAAGUUGAAGCAGGAAGGACUGAAAGAGUAUUGACUCUGGGCGAAGGAGCUUCCAGUUUCCACAAAGGAUGUGAUUUAUGCAAAGAUGGUAAGAUUCAAGCUGGUGCUUUAGGUGUUACUGCUUGUCCCUGUUGUUGUUUCUGUAGCACUGACUGCAGAAUUAAAUGUUUGCCAGUUCUUCAGCUCCUGUAGUUCACUGCUGCCGUCCUAGCUUAACUUGUGAAAGGAUCGUUGUUUUCCACUGAUAUAACAGACCAUGAGCUGUUUCAUCUGAAAUGCAGGCAGCCAGAGGACACAAACAUUAGAUGGGAGUGAAACUCUUGGCAGUAACAUAUUAAUUGUAAUACAUAAAUACACUAGAGCUCUUGAGUCCAGGCUUUGGUAUUUAACCUUAUGCUUGUUUGAUUUGUUUUCAUGAUUACACUUUAAAAACUUUUAGAACUAGAGAUCCAAAACUGCUAUAAAGUAACUUUUAAGUUGUUUCGAACUCUAACCAUUAUUAAAACAAGAGAGUUUAAUGCCUUUAGUUUCUAAUCUAGGAACUGUCAUUGCUGUUGUGCAUAACCAAGUGUAAAUAAUACAUUUGUUUGUAAAAUAUUAGGAGAUCCCUGAGUGCUUGCAGUAGGGAUUUCAAAUCCUUGAAAUCAAGUGUGAGGUGGGCAACAAGAUUGUUCAGUCUGGCUGGGUGACGGAUGAGAAGACUCCCCAGAAAACAAAAGUGAAUUGUAAAUCUUCUUAGUAGACUUGUACCAUUGUUGUUUCUCCUGAGAUUUGGCAGGAGAGCCACACCACUGUACUUCAAGAAAGAGUUAGAAGAAGAAACAAAUGGCAAGGAGGUAGAAAUGAGGACUGUACUAAAAAUCUUCUUAAAAUAGCCUUAAAGAAGACAUGAAAAGAAACAAGUUUUUCUCCAUCAAAUGAUAUUGUGUCAUGGCAAACUUGAUGACAUAUUCACUGGAAGAACAAGAUUCAGGUGCCAGAUAGGGCUACCAGGAACAGCCAGUCUUCAAGGAGGCAGCUCUCCGACUAUGUGGCGUGCCACAGCAGCUGGAGACUUUGUUGUUGAGUAUUAGAGAAGCAUUUUUUGCAAUUAUGUUUUUCUGGUUCACUGUCUAUUUUAAAUGAAGGUUUUUGUCUCGGUAAUUUCUUUAGCAACACCUAUUUGUAGAUCUGUCUAGAUAUACGACAUAGUAUUUUAUUUAAUUGUGCACGGCCAUUCUUAAACCUGGAGCUUCUAUAACACCGUAAUUAUUCAAGGAUACCUGAAUAAUACAAUACCCCUUCCAGAAGCUGUUCAGGUCAGGCUGGAUGUAGCAUAUGUGUCUUUUUGUAUUAGAAAAGUACUGUUGCAUGCAGCAACGUGGGAGGAAUUUUUCCAUGUGACCUUCUGAAUGCCAAGGGAAUUGCCAUGAUUGUCCUUAGCUCUGCUUUUAGAUACUGCAGCAGAAACUGCUACUGCAGGAUUCUGUACUGAAAUAUUUCUACUCUCCUGCCUUUGUUUUAUGGCACAGGAAAAUAUGAAAAAUAAAAAGUGAAAGGUCAUAAAGAAGAAAUAUCUGUCUGAUAUGGUCUUGGGUCUAUUCCCUGUUGCUGAGACCCAUGAUAAGCUGGUUCUCUUGUCUUACACUGUUGGCUGAAAACAACCCAUGGUGUGACAGUGGUGUUAAAACUUCCAAAUGUUUGAUUUAUAUUUAGGUCUUUAAUACCUUAUUUUGCGAAAGCUUUUGUACUUAUUGUACUUAAAUAUUGCAAGUCUAAAAGUUGAUUCUUCCAUGUGUCCUCGCUGCAUGUUGUGCUAACAGAAUGGAGUACUAAAGUUGCACACUCUACAAAUCCACAGAAAGCCUGUUCCACAAAUCAGCCCUUGUUAGUAGGACAUGUUUAGAAUAAUCCAGAUGUAGCUGCAUAGAUUGCUUUGGCAUUUUUAUCUUUUUUUACUUUAAUAUGGUCUUACAAGCUCUGGCAUGAAGUUGGCUAUAAAGCAGCUGGAGAAUGGAAAGUAUCUGUUAAAAAUCGAAUAUGACAUGUUCAUCCUGGAUAGGAAUGUGCUUCUCGGUUAUACAACUAAAGUUCUGUAUUUAACUGCAUUUACAAGAUUUGUCUUGCUACCUACCUGGGAGUUCACAGGUUAUUUGACUCUCCCUUGGGCUAUAAAUUAUGGGUACAUGCCUACUGAAGUGUGAUUUAUUACUUUUAUAAAAAAAACCCCAAACCCUUACAUCCCGUGUUUCGCUGGAAAGAGACUUCUUUGUGCACCAAGGCUUUAAAUUGUGAGCAACCACUUAACUGCUUUCACUUUUUCGGAUUGUAUUGCUCAAGGUUCUCAGUCAGCUCC